rnacentral:misc_RNA from 1 species
AACGGUCUAUACCUGCGGUACCUGCGGAGGGAUCAUUACCGAGUUUACAACUCCCAAACCCAAUGUGAACGUUACCAAACUGUUGCCUCGGCGGGAUCUCUGCCCCGGGUGCGUCGCAGCCCCGGACCAAGGCGCCCGCCGGAGGACCAACCUAAAACUCUUUUGUAUACCCCCUCGCGGGUUUUUUAUAUCUGAGCCAUCUCGGCGCCUCUCGUAGGCGUUUCGAAAAUGAAUCAAAAC